rnacentral:rRNA from 1 species
UACGUAGGGUGCAAGCGUUGUCCGGAAUUAUUGGGCGUAAAGAGCUCGUAGGCGGCUACGCACGUCCGUUGUGAAAUCGCUCGGCUCAACUGGGCGGGGUCAGCGGAUACGGCGUAGCUGGAGCAAGCUAGGGGGCAAUGGAAUUCCCGGUGUAGUGGUGGAAUGCGUAGAUAUCGGGAGGAACACCAGUGGCGAAGGCGGUUGCCUGGAGCUUUGCUGACGCUGAGGCGCGAAAGCGUGGGGAGCGAUCCGG